UACGAGGGGGGCGAGCGUUGUUCGGAAUUAUUGGGCGUAAAGGGCGCGUAGGCGGUGCGGUAAGUCUGUAGUGAAAUCUCUGGGCUCAACUCAGAGUCUGCUGCAGAAACUGCCGUGCUUGAGUGUGGGAGAGGUGAGUGGAAUUCCCGGUGUAGCGGUGAAAUGCGUAGAUAUCGGGAAGAACACCCAUGGCGAAGGCAGCUCUCUGGGACGGUACUGACGCUGAGACGCGAAAGCGUGGGGAGCGAACAGG
rnacentral:rRNA from 1 species